ACGCUCGACACCUACGGGAGCAGCAGUUGGGAAUAUUGGACAAUGGAGGAAACUCUGAUCCAGUGACGCCGCGUGAAGGAAGAAGGUCUUCGGAUUGUAAACUUAUUUUGUCAGGGAAGAAAAAUGACUGUACCUGAAGAAAAAGCACCGGCUAACUACGUGCCUAGCAGCCGCGGUAAUCUGAGCGGGCUGGCAAGGC
rnacentral:rRNA from 1 species